CCUACGGGAGGCAGCAGUGGGGAAUUUUCCGCAAUGGGCGAAAGCCUGACGGAGCAAUACCGCGUGAGGGAAGACUGCCUAUGGGUUGUAAACCUCUUUUUUCAGGGAGGAAUAAAUGACGUGUACCUGAAGAAUAAGCAUCGGCUAACUCCGUGCCAGCAGCCGCGGUAAGACGGAGGAUGCAAGUGUUAUCCGGAAUCACUGGGCGUAAAGCGUCUGUAGGUGGUUAGGUAAGUCAACUGUUAAAUCUUGAGGCUCAACCUCAAAAUCGCAGUCGAAACUAUCUGACUAGAGUAUAGUAGAGGUAAAGGGAAUUUCCAGUGGAGCGGUGAAAUGCGUAGAUAUUGGAAAGAACACCGAUGGCGAAGGCACUUUACUGGGCUAUUGCUGACACUCAGAGACGAAAGCUAGGGUAGCAAAUGGGAUUAGAUACCCCAGUAGUCCUAGCCGUAAACAAUGGAUACUAGAUGUUGAACAGAUCGACCUGUGCAGUAUCAAAGCUAACGCGUUAAGUAUCCCGCCUGGGAAGUAUGCUCGCAAGAGUGAAACUCAAAGGAAUUGACGG
rnacentral:rRNA from 1 species